GGGCCGUUAGCUCAACUGGUAGAGCAACUGACUCUUAAUCAGUAGGUUCGGAGUUCGAGUCCCCGACGGCCCA
rnacentral:tRNA from 1 species